UCGAAGUAGUUUAGAUUGAAAAGAUUUGGCUUAUUGCUGCUUUUUCCGUUAGUUUUAGGCAGUGUUUGGUGAGACUUCUUCUGAUAAUCAACUAGCAGAAGAACAUAUGUAUAGCUGGUUUGACUUUUGAAGAUGAUCCAGUCGAUAAAAGUGAAAAGCUGGAACGAGAUGGGAAACAAUGGGUUGAUAUGUGCUCUUCAAGGUGUUAUGUACCCAGAGUGCAUGAUAAUGUCCUGCUGCAAAAGUGGCUAUGUGAGAAUAAUACAAAACGUUUUCUUUAGCAUAAUUUACCCCAACCUAACACUGGCUGACCUGAAUAAAGAACUGUUCAGUAAUUGGUGCUAGGGUAGGUAUUCACAAUCUGGUCAGUUCAAGUGUGUUUAUUAUACAAAUAAAUAAAAGCACAUUUAUGUAGAUUAUGUUAAAUUUCUACUUGUUUCUGACUAUAUCAGGAGCUCAGUUAAGGCCCUGGAAGUCUCUCAUUUUGCUAGUUACUGAUGUCACUGAAAACAUGUGCAUAUAAGUAUACCAUUUUUCUUGUGCUCCUUGAAUCCUGUUUUCUUUUUCUUAAUUUUUCUUUUUAUGGAGAAGAGUGCUCCUUGAAUCCUUAAGCCUGAUACUCUUAACUUUCAUUUUAUCUUGUGCUUUACAGAUUAUGAAAAUAAUGUUUCUGAAUACAGGGUUUGUGCAUCUGGCUUCUGUUAUCCUUAUUCUUAUCUUUUCCCAUCAAGUUCUUUAUAUGGGCAGUUUUAUUAUACUGUUUUCCUAUGAUACAUCAUAACUGCUUCUUGGAGUUGUUGUGAUAGUGUUUUUUUUUUUUUUUUCUUUUUCUCUUUUUUUCUUUUCUCUGUGAUAGCUUCUCUGAGCGUUUAUAUAAUUCGCUAGUAUGUGAUUUUCAUUGUUAUAUCAAGAAUCAGUUCAAAUUGGAGCUAGUCUUAUGGUUGCUCAGAAUUAUACUGAAAUGUUCAACCAAUGAUACUUAAAUUCAAAUAAUAAGUGAUGCAUUUUGAAAUCCACAAUCAGAAAUUACGCAAGCAUAUAUAUUUGGCUGAUUGUAAAGUUGCUCAAAUGACAUGGCAUGUUAGCAUUCUUCUUGUAGUUUGUCCCCUAAGUAGUGGUAAAAUUAACAAUAGCAUUCUGCUGCCUAUCAAUGUUACUGCAGAUCACUAUCUUCUCUUUGAUUUUCCAACACCAGGAAUAUUAUCAUGAAACUCAUAAAGAAGUUAAACCUCAGGUUAUGAUUAUAUUCUUCUUUUGUGAUAUUGUUGCUUUGACCAUUCACCAUGACCAUGAAUGAUUGAUGUGCCUUCUGCUCUUCAUUUGGUUGGCUUCCUGAUUUUCUGCAGUUGGCUGCAACGCAUUUAGUUGAUGCCCAUAUAUGCAGUGACGUUGCAAAUUAUGUUACUGCAUUUCUUCUUUUUUAUCAACCAUGAUACAUAUGGAGCUCCCACACAUAAAUGUCUUCUCUAAGAUUGAUUUGAUACAUAACUAUGGAAGCUAGGUACUUGCAUGAACUUCUUACUCAAAGAGAUGAAUUUGACACCAUUGCUUUGUUGAUCCGGCAUCUACAUAUAAUUGUCAAAGAGACGACUUUGUACGUAUUGAAGUGGCUGAUUAUAUACAGAGUUUGGCUACCAACAUGAUUUUGAGUAAGACUAGUUUUUGCUUUGAAGCAAAGUUUGGUGUUGAACUUUUGUAGUUGGUUGCUAAUAUGUUUAUAGGCUAGCCUUUGUAGGUUUUGGGGUUUUAUUUUGUGAAUUAUGUAGAAUCAUGAAUGAAGAUGAGAAAAUUAAUGGAAAGCCCCAAUUUUUGAAUGAUGAGA